rnacentral:rRNA from 1 species
AUGGGUGGCAAAUCAAUCUUCAUGGAUCUAAACCCAUCCCUUGUUUGCUGGAAUGUGAGAGGGUUGAAUAACCCGGCAAAGAGGAAAGCGGUGAAGGAGUUCCUAGACACUACUAAAAUUAACUUAGUUUGCCUGCAAGAAACUAAAAUGGAUGUAACCGAUAACUUCAUUGUUAUGCAAUGCUUGGGCCCGUCCUUUGACGGCUUUGCGUACUUAUCGGCGUUAGAGACCCGUGGUGGCAUUCUUUUGGUGUGGAACUCCUCGGUGCUUGACGUCCAAAACUUACAGAUGGAUACUGACUUUCUCACGGGCGAGGUCUGCCCAAAGGUGGGCAUGGCAUGGUGGAUUUCGGUUGUUUAUGGACCUCAAGGGGAUGCGAGGAAAACGGGCUUCUUAACGGAAUUGGCUCAAAGAAGGGUGCUCUGCCCGGGACCAUGGAGGGUGCUUGGAGACUUCAAUAUGAUCUUGAGAGCAUCGGAGAAGAAUAACUCAAAUAUCAACAAGAAUAUGAUGAACAAGUUUCGUCAGUUUGUGGAUGAUCACAAGCUUAAGGAGCUCUACAUGCACGGUCGCCGGUACACUUGGACUAAUGAGAGGGACAACCCAACCUUAACCAAAAUUGAUAGAGUUCUUGUCAUGGUGGAUUGGGAGUUGAAUUAUCCAGAGAGUCUGCUACAAGCCCUGUCUACUGGUGUUUCAGACCACGCGCCUCUCUUCCUAACUAUUUGUGUGCCUUUUGCACACAAGAAACGGUUCCGCUUCGAGGUGUAUUGGACCAAGCUGGAAGGGUUUGAGGACGCGGUUAAGGAUGCAUGGAAAUGCGACGAGACAAUUGCAGAUCCUUACAAGAGGUUGGAUGCGUUGUUCAGAAACGCCGGGGCUACUCUGCAAGCAUGGGGACAAAGGAAAACUGGUAACGUGAAACUGCUAAUGGCAGUGGCCACGUGGGUGAUUUUCAGGCUCGACAAGGCACUCGAUCAUCGCCAUCUAUCGGCUCUCGAGACUUGGCUCAGGCGCACACUUAAACUGUGUCUACUCGGUUUGGCGUCUCUCAGAAGAACGAUCGAUAGGCAGCGAUCACACUUCCGCUGGCUCGAGGAAGGGGAUGCAAACUCAAAAAUCUUCCAAGCUGUGGCGAAUGGUCGGGGAGCCAAAAACUUCAUCCUGCAUGUGAAGUAG